GUCUUUAGCUUGCUUAAAACCUGCAAUUGUUAGGAGACACUUAAUGAGAUCAACAACAAUGUUUGGUGCUGCACAGAUAUUUCUGAAAUGGAUUAAACAAGGACUGAUGAAGCACUGAAAGCAAUUUUUGUAUCAGAAAAACGGAAGGCUGUUGACUCUCAUGGCAUCCUUUCCCUCUGAAUCCACACUGUGCAGGAGGAUCUUUUUCAAUAACGAUUGUGGUAAUUGUCAACAUUUUAAGCACCUGUUUUUCAUAAUUACUGUUCCAACCUCCAGAAAAUCCUGGAAUUUUUAGCAUCUGAAAUUGCUGAGGGACAGACCUGACAAUCAACAUCAGCACGAGAGCUGUGCUUUGCUCAGAGCAGUGACGGACUCAAUUUGGGCAGAACACGGAGAAAGGGAGAGAGUCAGCAGCAGCUCUGUCCUGGGACUGCGGCACGUGGUGUUGGAAGGAGCCUUGUCCCCAUACCCAUAAAGAGGAGAAUGAUCUUGCUGGAUCAGAUCCCAGGAGGAUGGAGGCUCUCCGUUUCCUUUUUUGCUAUUUCUGCAAUCUAAAAACAGGUUUGUUUCAAAGCUGUAAUUUUAUAACUACAGUGAUGAGAAAAGUUUCCCAGCUUUCAGUAAGCUCCAAAUGGAGAUUCUUUUCCUAACAUAUCUUUGAGGAUUGUUAAUCAGCCGUGUGGACUCAGGCCGUUGGGAAUGUUGAAACCACGUAGGAUCUUCUUCAACAAAACAAACGUAUUUUGCUAUAUAAUUAUCACACGUGCACGCUGUCAUACAGCAGAUACAUUUGCUUCUCAACACACAAAGUUCUGAAUUGCACUUACAGUCUAAAGGGCUAACCAUCUCCAUUAUAAAUAUAGACAUAUAUAGGAAACCAUAGCAUCUCGUUCAUUAGAUCAGCAUCAUAUGCUUAAAACCCAACAAUUCUAAAUACAUAUUUACAUGAUACACAUCAGGACUACAGGUAAGAAGUAGACAUUUUACAAACACUGCAGCAGCUCUUAUCUCCGUGUAAACUUUUAUACCUCCUAACAAGGACAGCUGUCUGUUUGAGAAGGAUGGUUUUCAUAGAGAAACUUCAUCCAUCAGAGAUUCUGAGAUAUAAUAAGUGCUCUGAAUUAAAGCGUAAAAUGCAAAUUAAAAAAUAUAAUAAUAAAUUUAAGGCUAAAAUGUUAUUAUUGUCUCACCUGUUCAGGCUCGAGUAGCUUAUAUAGUCCCUGAAUCUACAAACAAGGAAGCCUAUGUUUAGAGCUAACUACCCAGGGCCUCCUAAAGCAAACACCAUAGGAUCCACCGAUCUAACUGAGCUUUCUGUGCUGAACAUGGUGUGCAGUAAUGUACUGAGAUUAUUAGGGCCAAGUAGCAACAACCUGACAUAGGCGUGAAGUCUCUGGUGUUGAACAUAAGUUUCAUUUAAUCAGAAGAAGAUGAGGGAGAUGAUAGUCCUGGGAGCAGUAGAAAGUGAGCAAUUUCCAAUGGGAUGUUUCAAAGCAUUCACUGCACAUUGGACUGGACAAGAUGCUUAGGGACCGCAGAGCCUUUCUUUAGUAUUAAGAGGUGGUGAAGGAACUAUGAGAAUUUAGACAACUAAAUCAAGAAAAAGCUUUCUUCACACAAAUGACCUGAGCCUCCGGGGCUUUAAGAAUUAGGCUGUCUGCCUCCCAGAGCAAGACUUACCCAGGUGGAGCUGGAUUCAGGCCAUCAGUGUGAGGCUUUCCCACACAUCCCACCUGAAAACUAUUUAAGCCUUCCCAAGCCAGCAAGUAUUUUUCCAUGGAGACUGUGCUGCUUGGGGAGACUUGGAUUCCUCCAUGACAGCUACUGAGCCUUGAGAGAAACGCUGUCUUUGGGGUAAGUGGAUGGCUGAGAGAUCUGGCAUGCUCCUGGUUUGGAAGCAAGUUAUUAGGGAAAUGACCACUACAGCCACAGUAACACUCAUUGCUGCAACAGAGUAAGGAUAAGAGUUCCCAAACUUUCUGGCCCCAAGCCUCUCAAUCAUAUUUUUGACCCAGUUUGGUAACCUCUGAAGUUGUACUGAUGCAGCCGUUUUUGAUGCAGCCCAAUUAAUUUCUAGGAAGGCUUUAUUUUUGAUGUGGACUGGUAUCUUAAAAGUUGAUGUUGUAAGAAGUAUGGCUUGGGGCCAUCAAAAACAUAGUUUUGAGGAUCUUUUACCCUCAAAAGGGGUAACAAUGGGGAUAGACCUCACUUACAGAUGGGUCUUGCAGCUGCCUAACACUGCAUGUGGGUGCUUACACUCACAAGGAACUCAAUAAAUCCUGUUUACAUCUUGCCAUAUGUAAAUACAUUUGAAGACAUGGCCUUACACAUCUAGAAGUCAGAUGUAUAAAACCUGGAUAUAGUUAUCUAAUGGGACUGAAUCAUCAACUGAAACAAUAGCUAUAUUUAUUUACGUCUGGAGGUGGAUUUGGUACUGCUUAUUUACUCAAUAAACUCAUUUCAUUCUCUUAUGCAUUCUGCCGAAAGGAAUUACCUAAAUCUUCACAUCCAAACUGGAUUAAAAAUGUAAUACAAAAUGGUGUUCACAGCUAUGGCUCUGACAUAAUAUAAAUAAUAUAUGGUUGUAAAAUGAGCGGCAGGAAAAGCUCAGGACCUGCAAAAUGGCAUACUGGGUUAAAUACUUUUAAUUGUCUGCCAAUGUUCUGCCUGCCAAACUUACAAGAUAGGAAGAAAAUGUUAAUUGAACAUGCAUGUGAGGAAUAGAUAUUGCAUACGAAUUGCAGAUACCACCAAACAGACAACUGCAUAUUGCUUAAGCAGCUGCACAAGCUUUGCACAUGCAGUUCCAUAUUUUGGGCACAUCGUAGCUGUAAUUUACAACAUUAUUCAAAAACAUUUAAAUAACAAAUGGAAAACCCACCCCUCACACACACACCCUCUCAUGGGCGUUUGACAAGAGAGCAGUUCCGACUGACGAGCAGAGAUAAUGAAGUAUUGAGCAUUAUGUUUGCCAUCGUUAUUCUAACUCACUGGAGUGAAAGUGUUGUAUAGUACAUAUAAAACUCAGCAGACACAUUAGUCAUAGCUACAUUCAUCACUUAGACAUACAUUUCAGAAAAUUUUGCUGGUUGCCUAUAAGAACUCAGCUGAAUAGCUAGCACUUAACGAGCCACAGUAUCAUAUUUCUAUCUCUUAUAAAAUGUCAUCCGGAAAUGUUAGGGUAUUAUUUUUAUUUGUAUAUGGAGUCAG
ensembl:lncRNA